GUUCAUAUGAAAUCAACAAGAAAACAUCGAAUUGAAUAAACUAUGUGAUCUUCACUCUUGGUUUGCUGUUGCAUUUACUGACAAACUGAAAGAAGAGGCAGAGUUAUUUUUGCUGUCCCAGAGCAGUAAGAUCUAUGUCCAGCCCCAAGGGAUCCGCUCAGAAGUGACUGAAAACUUCUGCUGGACUGACUUCUUGAGGAGCUCAGGUUUAAGCAGUGAGCCUGUGGACGAGCUGCGUGUUUUCCUGCUGGUGUGCGGCCUCAGGAGAGUCAAGGACCCACUCUAUCUGUUGCAUGUUUUCUCAGAAUGGCAUUGUGAGAACCCGCUGAAUGUGUUGGUCAUUAUUGGG